rnacentral:lncRNA from 1 species
CUCCCCACCAUCCAUGAUCUAGACCAGCUGAUUUCUCUCUUCCCAUCACUGCAGGCCCACACCUUUCCCAGGGCAUCCACUCUGACAUGGAAUACUUCACUUCAUUAUCCUUAAGUGGUAUGCUUGUGUGUACGUGAGAAAGAUACCUAUUUAAUUAGACUCUAAGCUCUUGUGAGAGCUGUAUCUUAUCUCACAGUUGCUCUCUGACCCCAGCUCUUAGACUAACCCCUUACCAGGCAGAGGAUUUACAGAUAGUUUCUCCCAUUCUAUAGGUUGCCUUCUCACUUUGCUGAUCGUUUCUUUUCUUGUGCAGAAGCUUUUCAGUUUGAUGUCUUCCUACUUGUUGAUUGUUGAUUUUAUAGCUUAUGCUCAUGUUAAGCUGGAAGGUAGAACUUACCAGAGUCAAUUCCGGAUCCUAUCAGGAAGAAUAAUUACACAGUGCCCAAAUGUCUGGAGGCACACCAGUCAGAACAGGCUGUGUUGUGCUUCAAUAACAAACAACUCCUGGGAUCUUAGUCCCUUAAAACAACCCAUGUUUUGUGAGUUUUUUGGCUCACAUUUCAUGUCUUUCAUGGGAAUUCAGCCUUCUUUCCCAACUCUCCAUGCUCUGUGAGGAGCAGUGGGGAUCAUGACAUUCUGUGAGCCAAGCCGUGGGGGAGCUGUGGCUGAGCUCCCAUAAUGAGAUGGUCCGGCUCCCGAGCCUGUCCCAUGUGGGCAGCACCGGGGCAUCUGGAGUCUGGGUGCAGAGGGUGAGGGUCCCAGUCCUGUCACGGUGGAGCUCUGGAAGUCACGGAGGUUUACAGGAGGGGCUUUCACUUCCCCAGGAACCUGAGUCCUGGACACAAUCUCUGCCAGGGACGCGUCACGCUGCUCCGGAUCCAAGCUGCAGACCUGGACUCCGGCCAGUGCCAAGCAUCAGGAAUUUGGAGACAGUGGAAACACAAUGGAUUUUCACCCAGAACUUAGCACUUCCCCCUUUUCUGACCCCCUGUGCGCACCACGUGGAGGGGAGGGAGGGAGGGAGCUUGGCUCAGAGCAGCCUCACAGCAAACAUCCCUGACACAGCCUCCUCGGCCCAUCCUGGGUGAGAGUCCCCUCUCACCUGGCACAAGACACCAGUUCCCAGGGACAGCGUCCGCCGGCACCCACCUGGCAGGUUAUCCACGGGUGUGCGUCCUGGGGGUGGUGACUUGAGUUACCUGCGUGAGCUGCCUGCGCCUUACCCGUCUGUUCCCAUUUGAAUGGCCUGUGGGCGGGACUUAUGGGACGCCAAGUGUGUUACCUACACGUGCACUGCUGUGUCACCUGUGUGUCAUACGUGUGCUGUUUCCUUGGGUUCUGUGUGCUUGUGUGUGUUCCCAGUGAGUGUAUCACCUGAGUGCCUCCCACGCAUUCUAUCCUGACGUCAUCUCUGCCUAUGCGACCUGUGUGCUACAUGGAUGCUUCUGUGUUACAUCUGUGUCACCUCAAUGUGUGUGUUGGUGAUUCUUUGUGUUCCCACAUGAAUCUCAUGUGCUCUCCUUGUGUGUCACCUGUGUGUGCGUGCUGCUGGUGUGUGAACACUGUCACACCCUCCAUGUGACGCCCACACGACCUUUCGGCAGGUGACUCACAUUUUGGUCUGUGUGGCGCUGCCUGUGUGACAUCUGUGUCACACGUGUGCGUGCUGCUGGUGUGGCUCGUUCUGUGCACCGCCUCCAUACUGCGUGUGCCACCUCAGCAUGACCUGUGCCUGCCGCUCCUGUGUGAACACUGUCAUACACUCCGUGUGACGCUCAUGUGAGCUGUGACGGGUGACUCGUGUUUGGUCUGUGUGGUGCUGCCCGUGUGUGACAUCUGUGUCACCUGUGUUCAUGCCACCUGGGCGUCCCCGGGGGCGACACUUACCGUGUCACGCGUCUUGCUGACCGGAUCCACUUCCUGCGGCGUCGGGUGGUCCUCCCACCAGCUCCCCGGGACUGUCCGGGAGCGGCCCCGUCACACGCUGCCGCCGUGGGCCGAGGGCAGAGAGGUGGGCCGGCGGAGACUCGGACACGCCGGCCUCGGGCCGUCCUGGGUCGCGGGGACCGCAGGAGCCGCCGCGACGUCCGUACCCACCGCCCGCCUCACCGCCCUGCCCUGUCUUCUGGGGCCGGGCCUCGGCGGGGCUGCUCUCGAGGCCAAGCCGCCCUCCGACCAGGCGUAGCUCGCGGCGACGACAGGCCCUCGGCCGCCCACCGGCUGAGAGACGGCUGCGUCCGCUCCGCGGGCCGGGGCAGCGGUGGGCAGGCCCCUCGGGACCCCAGAUCCAGGGCUCCACGACGUCACGGACUCUGGUUUGCACCUCGGCCGUCUGGCUUCAUGAACGGGACCCCAUCUCUCUCAUCUGACACCUCUAGGCCCCUCGACGGCGACAAGAUGGUGGCGGAGCGCCGUCCUCACCUCCUCUCACGGCCAAGGCUUUCCUGUUAGCCUGGCUGCUCCUGACACUCACUCUGAUUGGACAGGCGGAGGUCAUAUGACGUCCCUGAACCAAUCCCGGCAGUCAGGACACAGCCAGUGGAUAGUGUAAGAACCUUUCCUGUUGGCUGGCAGGCAAGUCCAGACCUUCACUCUGAUUGGACACACCCAGGUCAUGUGACAUCCCUGAACCAAUCACUGCAGCCAGGGCCCACCUUCGCUUGAACUGACGAGAUCACAGCGCCCCCUGGAGCCAAGGGAGCCCAUCCAGGAUCACUGGUCUGGGUGGGAUGGGGGGAUGGCGGAUUCCUGAUGAAAGCUGGGGGCUCCUGGAAGAAGAGGGGGAUGCUGGAGGCCACUCCCGGUGUCCUACAGGGAGUCUAGGUCACUGUCCCGAGGCCCCGGCUGCCCCAAACAGAGACCCUGACGGGAGGAGAGGCGGGGACGUGGCCUGUGGCCUUUCCUCCUGACUUCCGGUCCUGGACCUGCGGCUUCCAGACCCGCCGACCUCAGCCAGAGCAUGAGACCCACGGGACUGAGGCCACCCGGACAGUCCUGGACAGAGCUGGAGACCCGCGGACUAAGGCCACCCGGACUGUCCCGGGCAGAGCUUGGCCAUCCCGCCCCUUGUCCCGUGGAUUCCCACCAGUCUCCCCACAGCCCAGCCACGGGCCAGCGCCUCUCCGGGUCCACCGUGACGUCCUCCUCAAGGUGGUGCUUUCGUAGUUGGAAGCCUGAGGCCUGAGUGUCUCCGCGUGAAGAUGCGGGGUUUGUGCGUUGAUUGAAGAUAAAACAUACUGAGCUCCAGAACGUCUGGAGGCUCUGAGGGAAUUUGAAAUUUUAACCUGCUCUGUGAACUCCGAAGCUGGUGAGUCAUCCACAGACUUCGUGAGGUGUCAGACAGCCUGUGCUUCUCCACUCGAUCUGGAAACCAGGGAUGCUGCCUAAUGACACGCAAAGCUCUGGAAUCAGAAGGAGAGACUGGCGGGACGUCUCCCAGAAGGAAGGCCUGAGAUGGGGUCACAACCGCCUCACGGUCCUGGGUCCAGAGGAGGCGAGCGCACUCCCGUGGUGACAGGUCCGUCCUGUCACCCCCCUCGACCCCACGACCCUGCGGUCCCCCCUCGGUGCUGCUGGGGAGAAUCCACACCAGCAGCGGAGAAGCAGGAACCCAAGGCACAGGCUGAGCCCUGCGGGGCACUGAGACCUCCGCACCUCCAGAAACGUCGGAGGCUGGGCCUUCCCCCAGCUCCCCUUUACCUGCAAGGCGGUCCUCCCCUGAGACCCCUGGGGAGCCCUCCCAGACCCUGUCUGCCCCUGAGGCCCCCUCCUCUGGGCCUCACAGUGCAGGGCGAGCCCGGGUCUUGGAGUUGGUCUCACCGCCUGGGACGAUGGGGUUGCUGACUCGAGGCGGCCCGAGGCACUUCUGACUUCCUUGUCCAGCUCCUCCGCACCCCCCUCCCAGUGGCGUGGUGACUGGCCGCAGCAGCCUGCGUCCUGGAGCCCGUGCCGAGCGGAGCACCGCUGUCAGUCCAGGAGGGACGUGAGGCGCGGGAUAACCCUUCCCAGCUGGGUCAGAGAGAGAAACAGAAAGAGGAAGAGGAGAGAUGUGAAACAUGAGAGGGUCUCGACCACCAUUGCUGGCUCUGAAGAUGGAGCAAGGAGCUGUGAGCCAUGGCAGACACGUGGCCCCUAGAAGGUGGGAAGACCCUCAGCUUCCAGCCAGAAGGAAGCAGAGAUCUGAGUCCUACAGGCACCAGGAGCUGAAUUCUGCCCAGAACCCAUGUGAUCGAGGAAGCAGACCCUCCUCUGGAGCCUCCAGAGAGAGAGACGCAGCCUGCAGACACCCUGAAUUUAGCCCAAGGAGCCCCAUGUCCGACUUCUGGCCUGCAGAGCUGUGAGAUGAGGAGUCUGUGUUGUCUAAGCCACUGAGUUCAUGGUAAUUUUAGGUCAGCAGUAGGUUCCCAACACAGACGGCUGUGUUUCUGGAAGUAAGAAGCAGCUGGCCUCCCGCUUGCACAGACCGGAAGGCUGCUCCCCGAGGCCAGGUGUGUGCUCCAGGUGUUGGGCUGGGACU